rnacentral:rRNA from 1 species
GGAUAACUACGGAAAAGCUGUAGCUAAUACUUGCUUUAUUAUCCUUUGAUUUUUAUCUUUGGAUAAGUAUUUGUUAGGCCUUAUAAGAAAAAAGUUAUUAACUUAAGGAAUUAUAACAAAGAAGUAACACGUAA